AAAAAUAGUUCUCGACGUAUGAGAUUGAACACAGCGCCAUGACGGACGACGGUUUGCACAAAGACGGCUCUUCUAAUUCGGAAAAUCGAUCAGUUGAGGAUCUAAGAGCUGGUAGGAAGGUAUGAAACAUGCCUUCAAUAUGGUUGAGCAGAUCUCAUAUCUUGGAUGGAGGAAAGUCUAGUUUCUCAACAAUUCUGCCUCAUGUCUACCAACUGUAUAAGAAGGUCAAUCAUCUUGUGUAUCUGAUGGGUAAUCAUGGAAGUAUCAUCAAGUCUCACAAGAAUGGCCAUGUCUUCUCUGCUGCCAUGUACCCUAUUGUUGUAUAGCACAACAAGCUAGGUAGAAGAACCCGAAUAAGCGUCAGUCCUUAUUUCAACAUUUUAGAAAGAGGAGGAAAGGCAAAAAACAACCAGAAGAGAUCAUGUAACUCUUCUAUCCUUUAGAAGACUGUAAGAGGACCAUACUUUACUCAUGCUGAAAGGAAUUUUUUGUGGUAAGCUGAUUCUGUUCAAAGAGGAAAUUGAGUCGCAAAGUAUGAGGAACUAAUUCACAGUUCGGAAAUCAAUCAUCAAUGAGUGCUUCUUUAGAGGCUUUCUUAGAAGCAGUUGAAUUAGGACAAGAGGAAUGAUAUAUUUAUUGUCGAUUCUAUAUCUUCGUUAGGCGAGAAAGAGGUGACUACUUUAUAUUUGAAGAUUAGAGGUUGCUUUAUAUAGUGUCUGUAUAGCAUAUGGUAGUUUGCUUUGAGACCUGUUGCUGGUUUUUUAAAAGUAUGUUCUGUAUCUACGUUGAAGAUGUAUUACAAUAAAUGACAGAGGGCACAGAGUGGUG